UACGUAGGGGGCAAGCGUUGUCCGGAUUUAUUGGGCGUAAAGAGCGUGUAGGCGGUUCGGUAGGUCCGUUGUGAAAACUCGAGGCUCAACCUCGAGACGCCGAUGGAAACCAUCGAACUAGAGUCCGGAAGAGGAGAGUGGAAUUCCUGGUGUAGCGGUGAAAUGCGCAGAUAUCAGGAAGAACACCCGUGGCUAAGGCGGCUCUCGAGUACGGCACUGACGCUGAGACGCGAAAGCGUGGGGAGCGAACAGG
rnacentral:rRNA from 1 species